rnacentral:rRNA from 1 species
AUUGAACGCUGGCGGCAUGCUUUACACAUGCAAGUCGAACGGUAACAGGGAGCUUGCUCCGCUGACGAGUGGCGAACGGGUGAGUAAUAUAUCGGAACGUACCCAAGAGUGGGGGAUAACGUAGCGAAAGUUACGCUAAUACCGCAUACGAUCUAUGGAUGAAAGCAGGGGACCUUCGGGCCUUGUGCUCCUGGAGCGGCCGAUAUCUGAUUAGCUAGUUGGUGAGGUAAAGGCUCACCAAGGCGACGAUCAGUAGCUGGUCUGAGAGGACGACCAGCCACACUGGAACUGAGACACGGUCCAGACUCCUACGGGAGGCAGCAGUGGGGAAUUUUGGACAAUGGGCGCAAGCCUGAUCCAGCAAUGCCGCGUGAGUGAAGAAGGCCUUCGGGUUGUAAAGCUCUUUUGUCAGGGAAGAAACGGCUGUGGCUAAUAUCCACGGCUAAUGACGGUACCUGAAGAAUAAGCACCGGCUAACUACGUG